AGAGCGAACGCUGGCGGCAUGCUUAACACAUGCAAGUCGCACGGGCAGGGGCAACUCUGUCAGUGGCGGACGGGUGAGUAACGCGUAGGUAUCUAUCCUUGGGUGGGGGACAACUGUGGGAAACUACAGCUAAUACCGCAUGAUAACUGAGGUUUAAAGGCGCCCAGGGUAACUUGGGUGGUCGCCUGGGGAGGAGCCUGCGUACGAUUAGCUAGUUGGUGGGGUAAAGGCCUACCAAGGCGACGAUCGUUAGCUGGUCUGAGAGGAUGAUCAGCCACAUUGGGACUGAGACACGGCCCAAACUCCUACGGGAGGCAGCAGUGGGGAAUAUUGGACAAUGGGCGCAAGCCUGAUCCAGCAAUGCCGCGUGUGUGAAGAAGGUCUUCGGAUUGUAAAGCACUUUCGACGGGGACGAUGAUGACGGUACCCGUAGAAGAGCCCCGGCUAACUUCGCGCCAGCAGCCGCGGUAA
rnacentral:rRNA from 1 species